AUUUGCAGCGGCUCGAGUGAUGGAUAAGGAGCAAGCGGGGAGGCACGUAAAUGAGUUAAAUAGGAGAGAAGGAGGAAGUGGGAGACGAGACGAAAGAGAGGGUGUGGAAGUUAAGAACAGGGUUUUAAAUGUCUCCAAGAUAAAUACGUUUUGAGGAUUUUUGGCAAGCCAUCAUGGGUUAAUUUUGGGCUUCGGCCCAAAAAGGGAGCUCCUUUUUUCUUGCCCGUCUGGAAGCACCACAGGCUCUUGCACUGCCAUAACUGACGAGGGUCUGGAGGUAGAAGAAUGAUGAUCCUCGAUGGUCUCCGCCAGCUCUGUCGACCCAAAUUUCAGGUUCUGCCCAAUGUUGGAGAAUCAAGCCUUAUACAGGGAGAAUAGAUUGAUUUUGUUGAGAGGCUCUUCGCGAUUGAGAGUUGAAGAAUUACAGAGGAAAGUUGAACUUGGGAAAUUGAGCGACUGGAGUGACAUAUAACCGUCAAGGAUUAAGAUGCUCGCAAGAAAAUGACAAUGUAUGGCAGGCUCCUAUGUGACACAUGCUGGUAGUAGGUAGUGACUGCUGAUUGCCAGCCUGCCACCAUUAUAUUUGUAGCAUUUAAAAAUGCCAUGAAUGGAAAUAAUGGUCAAAGGUGCGUUGUUUACAGCUUAUUCAGAAAUCUUGAAUUGGGGAUAAGUAAAUUUUGCCAAAUUUCUUGUCUUUGAACCGUUUUAUUUUGCUGUAAAAUUUCAUUCAAAUGGGAGAAGAAAUGAGGAAGUUUGAUUAUCUAAAAAAGAAUUAGGCAAAGGAGGUUGAGUUUUGCAAGAGUUGAUGGGUCUGUUCUAAAAACCCAAAAUCUUCUCUUGAUUAUAUAGGUUGGGUCCUGUCUUGAUCACAUGGGGGAGGGUCAUAUGACAACCUCAACACUUUCUAGCAAUAGAAUUCAAUUGAAUCCUAGUUCUCACAUAGGCUUUAUUUGGAAUAAAUCAUAUGAAGUUGAAGUCAAAUGAAUACUUGUAGAGUCAUGCAAUUAAUCUUUCAUUUCAAACAUUAGAAUUCGUAAAAAAGAAAACAAUUGGAUUGAAUUUUUACAAAUUUCUUCGUUGCAAACAUGGUGAUAUAGAUUUAUUGCCAAAUGAAUUGAAUUCAGUUCAAAACUACUUGAAUCAUAUAUAUAAUUUAUUGUUUCCAUUUCUCAUUCAAGAACUUCAUCAAUAGAUUGUAAUGGGAAGGUGAUAUGCUUUCCUUCUAUAGCACAUUGAAUUGUUUGUCUUCUUUUUUUUCUUUUCCCUCAAGUCUGAAUCAUGGUUUAUAUGGCCAUAUUUUCAAUGCAAAGAUUUUAAUUUUACACUUGAAAACAGUGGGAAGUUGUCUGUGGUAAUUUCAAACUUUUUCUAGUUGCUUCUUUGUGCAUUAAGGCCUUUAUACUGUAAAGGCUCAUUGUUUCAGUUAAGUGUGCUUGAAUAGGAUCUCGUCACUGGUCAAUUAACUAGAAAAUCCUCCUUUUGUCAUAUUGAUUUUCUCUUGUUAAUAUUUUCUGAAUGUCCGCUGUUAAUGUUUGAGAGAAUUCUCAUAUCUCAUAAACUGAUGAAUAAUUUUCUGAAUGAUUUAUUCAAUGAUUUCAGUGUCUUUUUAUAAUGAAGGCUAUAUUCAUAUUACAUCAACAUUUGAAUUUAAAUUACUUUCUAUCUUCUAUUAAAAUUUAAAAAUUAAAAAUAACAAUUAAAAAAUCAAACUAGAGAUAAGUUAAGAUAUCUUAUUUGUUGUAACCACUUUGAUCAGAAUUUGUCAAAGAGGAUAAUGCACAUCUACAACGUUAUCCCCUUCUUGGAGAAAAAGCUUGUCCUCAGUCAUCAAAUAAUAGGAUCUAACUCUACCCAAAAUCAUUUUUUUGCACUGAUGUUAACAAAAUAUGGCUCAUUACAAUUGCAGUAAAGGCCUUUAGCUCGACGUUCAACCAUUUAUAUCCUGCUAAAUCGUUUCACAAAUGGAGUUGAGGUACCUUUGACACUUGAAGAUGCUAUAUUACUAUUUCCUUUAGACUCAUGAGUUAAACUGUCAGUAGAUGGUGCAGACCCUUGAAAUGACUCAUAAGUUGUUAUCAUCCAACCCAGCUGUUGUUUCUUUUCAAAUGUUUAUAGCAAAAUUCAUUAUUGUAACUAAACUAGAGGGUUUUGUAGUUUCACCUCAAGCCGAAUAGUCUCAGACAAUCUUGCAGUAAAAAAGUCAACUCGUUGGUUGAUAAUCUUCUAUUGGUCCAACUUGCUUCAAAUUCACCAACUCCCCCAAAGGAUUGCUAUGCAAAGGACGACUAAAUCGCAAGUUACAGUUCUCCUUAUGCCAUGUCAUCCCAGGUUCUUCCUGUUCAAGUCUGUAAAACUAGAAUUGAGCCUCACCAAUAAGAUGAAGGCGUCGUUCGUUGAUUGUGAAAAAAUUAUUCACGACGGUUAAGCCAUUUAAGUGGAUAAUUAGAGCCAUCAAAUGAGGGAAAGUCAAGUUUUGUAUAUCUAGGCAACAUGCACCCUUCAGAACAAUCAUUAUUUUGGCUGGACAAGGUUCUGUUUGCUGCUACUGGUUCCAUCUUGGUUUUGUUUGCUUCCAAACUUGAUGAGCUAAGUCAUUGAAUCUAGCAUCGUUUUGUUGCAUGAAAGAGUUUAGCUUCUCUUUCAGAUUUGUUGAAUCACCCAAGAUGACUAGCUUUGAUACCAAAUUGUUUAAUUGCCCUUAAAUAGGAUUUCGUCAUUAAAUGGAAAAUCCCUCUUUGGCCAAACUGAUUUUCCAUUUUCAAUGUUUCUGCUUUCUUAGAGGAACGUUCCUAUUGUGAAAUAAAUUGAGGAUUCAUUUGAGAGAAUCCUUUGAUCUCAUAAUUUUCUGAAUAUUUUACUCUAUGAUCUCAUCCCUUUUUAUAGUGAAGGCUACAUUCAGAUUACAUCAAUAUUUGAAUUCAAAAUACUUCCUAUCUUCUAUUAAAAUUUAAAAAUUAAACUAAAGAUAACAAUUAAAAAAAAUCAAACUAGAGGUAACAAGAUACUGGUCUUAUUUGUUGCAACCAUUUUGAUUAGAAUCUAUCAAUUAGAAGGAUAAUGUAUAUCCACAACACUGUCCCUCUUUUGUUGGUUAACAUUAUGAUUCUAGUGUCUCCAGCUAACUAGCCAAGUUGGAAAGAGAGCUUUCUAUGCUACUUUACUCAAGCUGGUAAUGAAAUUUAUUUUUCCAUCAGAUUUUCCUGUAAACCAUAGCAUGGUCUUCAGCUUGAUUCAUAAAUUACACACUAUACGUGGUAACUUUUAGAAUUUUUUUUCAUUCCUUAUACAUUUGUAUCUUAUUAAUAUUAUUUUAGUAAAUUCCUUUUAUAGCAUGGAUUCGAGUCAUAUUGCUACUUUCUUUCUUCUGCUUUUCUUUUUUUUUUUUUUUUGAAAAAAAAAAUUGCAUAUCAUAGCACCAUAUGCCAUUGUUGACAACCUGAUACAGCAACCCCAUAAUCGUGAUGCACGAAUUAAAAAUGAACUACCAUUUCCAUAGAUUCUACAUCCAAAAAUAUUAAUUUUCAUAAAGUAAUUCUUAAAAUGAGUUAACUCAUGAGAAAUAAGAUCAACCAUUAAAUUAUGCUACUGCAUAGUGAGUAGGCUGGAAAUUAGUUGAGCUUUAGUUAUUAGUGAUUUCUGCUGAGCAUUUUUCACUUUAAAUUUGUGAUGAUGUUUGUGAAUUUAAUUCAUUUCGUGCUUUAGCUAGUCCUUGAUAUGAAUUACUUCCAUUGCCUCGGUGUGUUUAGGCUUCUUGAGGAAAUGUUUUGUCAUAAAGGUCUUUGAUCAUAUCAGAUUUCCAAUUUACACAUCUAUAGCUUAUGGUCGUUGAUAUAUACUCAUCUGGUCCUAAAUGUGCAUAGCAUUUAUUAAGGGUGCUCACGAUUUGGUAUUAUCCAUUGAACCCGACUGACCCCAACCAAAUCGAACCAAUAAAUCAAGUUGAACCAUGAGGUCAAGUCGGUUUGGAUAGUUUGAGUUAAAAAUUAUUAUCUGUUGUCAGUUGAACCAUGAGGCCAAGUCGGUCAAGUCAAGUUGAACCAAUACCCACCGCACAUACUUUUUUUUUUUUGGGUUUUCAUCUGAUAUGUGGACUUUAUUCAUAACAUAUGCAGUGUCUUUGGCUCCUAUUGAUCUAUGCAUUUCUAGGUAUAUCUUUUUGUUUGUUGCAGGCAUUUUAUACUCUAGUAGUGAUGAUCAUUCCAAUAUUAAUGGCUUUCUCUAAAUUAGAAUUCGUGAUAAUCGUUUUAUACUAACUAUAUUUUGUCUUAAUUAGUAUAUAUGCAUUUCCAAUGUGAUUUGAGCAUGAAUAAAUUUAAUUUUCUUGCUUUACUUUUAUUUAAGUCACAGGUCAUUUAUAGCAUCAUCCUUUGUAUCCGUUGCCUUUCAUGCUUUAUUUCCCUUUGCAGAUCCACUUGGUUUAAUGGAGUGGUACUAUUAUAAUCUCAUAGAUUCUUGAUUUAUAGUAAGCUUUAGGAUUUUCACUCUUGCAUUAAGGACAAGCUGUAGUUGUUAUUAUUAUUAAAUGUAAACCAUAAACACUUGCACAAAUGUAUACUAUAAACACUAAGAUCCUGCUAAAAUGACAAUAUAUUAUUGUUAUUAUUAUUAUUAUAAUAUUGUUAAUUUCUUGAAAAAUUUGAUUUAGCUGAGAGAUUGUGAAACAAAAAAGGGCAAAUCAAGAAUAGAGGCUGAAGCAAUUCUCUCUUGAUGUUUAUUCGAGAAGAAUGUAUUUAAAUACAGUUCUAUGGACUAUUCUAGAAAUGUAUACGUUACAGCAGAAAACAUGUGAGCUAAGAUAAAGAAAAAGAUUCUUCUCUUAUUUGUGUAGCUGGCACAGAGAUGAAAAAAAAUGUGAUUUUCUUGUGCUCUCCGUUUUAAUGAUAAAUGAAAUGCACCAUUUUGAAUAAGUGAGAGAGCACUGCACACCAUUUUGGCUGUUUGUUACAUUGUAUCAGAUUGUUUGGUGGAAUGUCUCAGAGACAUUUUUUUUUCCUUUCCAUGUUUAUCUAGAUUAGGAUUAUCUUGCUUUGCUUUUAUUCAAGUAUUUUUAAUUGUGUUUUGGUGUAAUCCUUUGAAAUAAUCUUACUUUGAAAUUCUCAAUUCAAUGUAGACAACUCCAAAUUUAUAGAGUCUAGCUUAUUCUCAUGUAGUUUCUUCAUUUUUUGUGUGUGCACGCACUUUCUCUUAUUGAUGGAGCUGUAAGGACUAAAAUUUGACAUGACAGGUACCCCAAAUCCUGGGAAAAAAAUAAGAAAUAUUAGCUUAUAGGUGGGACUCGAAGACCAAAGCAUUUCAAGUACACAGUAACAAAUCUUCUAUUCAGUUACGUAGUGACCUACACCAAUAUGAGGCGAUGAUGAUGGUCAAUUUUGAUUAGAAAAGUUGCUCAUAAAGAAUUCAAAUUCAAUCAAUUUUGUGCAAAAUGAAAAUGGCUAGGCAAAAUUAUGGUCGCAAGCAAAAAAUAAGGAUGAGAGAUGACUAGUAUUGAUGUGACGACAAAAUGUGUGUUCAUUUUAUUUGGAGUUUGAUGAAUUAUUUCCACAUCUCUUUCUCUUUUGUAAUUUUUCAUGGCAAGUUUGGUGUUGGUUUUUAAAUUGAUGGUGGGGUUGCAGCUUCUCGGUCCAAGGCUCUGUGCUAGAUUUCUUUGAGCAAUGAAAGUGCUUAGGUUGUAUCAACUUUCAAACAGGCUUCUGGACUAACUUAUAUACGCUGUUAUCUCCUCACUUUGGUUGGCUAGAAAUGAAAGAGUGUUUAGUAAUGAGGAGUCUUCAUUUGAUUCUUUAUGCAUCUUGAUUCUUCAUAGGGUGUCAUUAUGGUUGAAGGCUUUUAAAGAGGGAUUUACCCUUUUCCAGCUUUGAUCUUUUGGUUUCUACAGAAUUUCCAGAGUUAUAUCAACCAACGAUUAGGGAGUAGCAAUCUGCAAGAUUUAUAAGUAAAUUGAGGCUAUUAAUAUAUUUUAUUUUGGACAAUCGGUUAAUCCAACUUUUGAACAGCUCUAUCAUUUGUGCUUAUAAGAAAGAGAAUUUCAUAGUGGAUGUCUGCUUUGAGAAUUGGAUUCAGGAUUAUUCAGGAGAAUGUAUCUACUGGGGAAACAAUUGCAUAAACAGGCUACAAAUCUUACUAAGCUGACCUGAGCAGCUCCACAACUGCUCCACAAGGCCAGUAACUUACAUGCAUUUUUUGCUAAAUACCUUUUCCCUUGUGUCCUAUGAUUUUUUUUUUUUC